rnacentral:rRNA from 1 species
CAGUAGCCGCGGUAAUACGGAGGGUGCAAGCGUUAAUCGGAAUUACUGGGCGUAAAGCGCACGCAGGCGGUCUGACAAGUCAGAUGUGAAAUCCUUGGGCUUAACCUGGGAACUGCAUUUGAAACUGUCAGGCUGGAGUCUUGUAGAGGGGGGUAGAAUUCCAGGUGUAGCGGUGAAAUGCGUAGAGAUCUGGAGGAAUACCGGUGGCGAAGGCGGCCCCCUGGACAAAGACUGACGCUCAGGUGCGAAAGCGUGGGGAGCAAACAGGAUUAGAUACCCGCGUAGUCCCUGUCUCUUAUAC